AAAUACAGGCUUACAGAAAAGUUUCUCACAGAUAUUUUCUCACAGAUAUUCACCGGCAGUGUUUACUUCAGAGGACAAGAAUAGUUCAACAGUCAAAAGGUACCAGGAGAAAUGCACAAGAAGAUGAUCUUUAAUUCUAACAAACCCUUCAAUGCAAUUUGGUUUAUUCCAAGCAUCUCUAGAGGGCCGAUGAAAACGGAAUAGCCAGUUGCCAACAAGUAGUGAACAAGUCAGCAGACCAACACACUGGACACAGGUGGUGCUAAGUCAGCUGACCUCUCUCUGUAAGACUUCAAAGGAGGGACA